CUUCUUGAGUUGUUAGGAAGUCGUGCCUGCCCACUGAAUGAAUUGAAGGGCCGCGGUAUUUUGACUGUGCAAAGGUAGCAUAAUCAUUAGUCUUUUAAUUGGGGACUGGGAUGAAUGGUAUGACGAGGUGGAGACUGUCUCUUUUAUAUUAAAUGAAGUUCACUUUUGAGUUAAAAGGCUUAAGUGAGAAUGGGGGACGAGAAGACCCUAUAGAUCUUUAUUUUUGAUGUAGUUAAUUAUAUGAGGAUUAUUAUGUGAUAAAUUACAAUAAAAAUUAGGUUGGGGUGACAAGAGAAUAAAUUUAACUUCUCUAAAAAUAAACUUAAAUUAUUGGAUUUUUGAUCCUUUAUUAAGGAUGGAAGAUUAAGAUACCUUAGGGAUAACAGCGUAAUUUUAUUUGAGAGUUCUUAUUGACAAUAAAGAUUGCGACCUCGAUGUUGGAUUAAGAUUAUAUUUCGGUGCAGUAGCUGGUGAUAUUAGUCUGUUC
rnacentral:rRNA from 1 species